AUAGGACAAGACUAAGUCAUCUGGGAGACCCCUUUGCUGUGUUUGGGCAAGACUCUUAACCUGGUAAACAUGUACUUCUGAAGAAAGCCUGGAGGGAGAUUUUCUUCUGGUACAGAAUAAAGACAACCUUACAAGCUGGCCAUUAUUGCUCUAUGCCUGACUAGAGAACUGAAUUAAUCAUUUUCUAAGUAUGGGAAUGGGGGGAAAACAAAGGUGGCUGAGAGAAGUGUAGUUAGUACCUGUUUAUGCAACUGUCUAAACCCUCUGAUGCUUUACGACGUCCCUGUCGGAGGAACAGGGAGCCAAAAAACUAAGAGCUGUAACUGACUGGGCAAAUGGAAGUCUUCGCUUUAAGCUUUGUAGACAGACACCUGUUUGUGAAAUUGGGGACCAGUUUUUUAAUACUCAUUUUUAUGCAAUAUGUUCAUGUAUGAAUUCUUCCUCCUAAUCCCCAGAGACCACACCCAUUAGAAUAUUCAAUUUUUCAUCAUGGAACCUGUCAUCCUGGACUGUCACUGAACAGUUGGGUUGAGUGUCACCCACACCCUAGAAAAGUGAUUAACUGGAAUUUUAACACCCGUGCUAAGUGUGUGUGGCAGUGUAGGUAUUUCUCAGUGGCUGAAAGAAUGAUGUGGCUAUAGACUGUCUAACUGAAACAGAUUUGGUAGAACAGUUUCAAUUAUGUACCCAAAGAAAGAUUCUGGACCAAAUGCAGCCUCAUCAAAUGCAGUUCAGUGAGUCUGAAAGCAGGUGUAAAUGUAGUGGAACCAGGAACUGCAGACCAUGUAAUUUGAAAAUGUUCAUCAUCCAAUAUACUUUGAAGAUUAUAGACAGGGGCCAGGCUUGUUAAAUAAGUUACCAUUAAAAAAAAUUGCAUUUUGUGCUAAACCCAAAGGAAGGACAAAUUAUCACUGUUUUGCUUCGCUUUAAAAAUGAAAUUAAAUGCACCAUGUGGCAGUGUAUUAUGUAAUUUACAUAUGUUAUUAUGGCAAAAUUUUAUUAUUUUGCCUGAUGCAAUUAGCUGAAAAGAUAUAAAUAAAACUGAUAAGAAUCUC